ACAAGAUAGAAGAAUUAUUGAGGCCAAAGCGACAAAAUAAUUCUUGGUCUAUUAAGGCCAAAGCGACAAAAUGGACCUGGAUCUAUUAAGGCCAAAGCGACAAAAUAGAUUUCUAAGGUAGGGUAUUAGUUAGAGUCAUAGGUAAGUGAUUUCGAAAGAGUGUCAACUUUUACUGACUUUUAGAAAUGAGAAUUACAAAGAUAAAAUCUAACUAUUUUAUUUUAUAAUUUGUACUAGCAUAGAGACUAAGAAACUACAAUAUAGGACUAUAAUUCUAGAUUUGAACCCUGGUGUUUUAGCCAAGCUCCGGCCAUAGCG
rnacentral:lncRNA from 1 species